UACGUAGGGGGCGAGCGUUGUCCGGAAUCAUUGGGCGUAAAGAGCGUGUAGGCGGACUGGAAGGUCUGGUGUGAAAGCCCGGGGCUCAACCCCGGAGGGUCACUGGAAACCAACAGUCUUGAAUCUGGAAGAGGAGAGUGGAAUUCCUGGUGUAGCGGUGGAAUGCGCAGAUAUCAGGAGGAACACCGGUGGCGAAGGCGACCAACUGGACCGAUAUUGACGCUGAGGCACGAAAGCGUGGGUAGCAAACAGG
rnacentral:rRNA from 1 species